ACGGGUGAGUAACACGUGGGCAAUCUGCCCUUCACUCUGGGACAAGCCCUGGAAACGGGGUCUAAUACCGGAUAAUACUUUCCCUCUCAUGGGGGAAGGUUAAAAGCUCCGGCGGUGAAGGAUGAGCCCGCGGCCUAUCAGCUAGUUGGUGGGGUAAUGGCCUACCAAGGCGACGACGGGUAGCCGGCCUGAGAGGGCGACCGGCCACACUGGGACUGAGACACGGCCCAGACUCCUACGGGAGGCAGCAGUGGGGAAUAUUGCACAAUGGGCGAAAGCCUGAUGCAGCGACGCCGCGUGAGGGAUGACGGCCUUCGGGUUGUAAACCUCUUUCAGCAGGGAAGAAGCGAAAGUGACGGUACCUGCAGAAGAAGCGCCGGCUAACUACGUGCCAGCAGCCGCGGUAAUACGUAGGGCGCAAGCGUUGUCCGGAAUUAUUGGGCGUAAAGAGCUCGUAGGCGGCUUGUUGCGUCGGUUGUGAAAGCCCGGGGCUUAACCCCGGGUCUGCAGUCGAUACGGGCAGGCUAGAGUGUGGUAGGGGAGAUCGGAAUUCCUGGUGUAGCGGUGAAAUGCGCAGAUAUCAGGAGGAACACCGGUGGCGAAGGCGGAUCUCUGGGCCAUUACUGACGCUGAGGAGCGAAAGCGUGGGGAGCGAACAGGAUUAGAUACCCUGGUAGUCCACGCCGUAAACGUUGGGAACUAGGUGUUGGCGACAUUCCACGUCGUCGGUGCCGCAGCUAACGCAUUAAGUUCCCCGCCUGGGGAGUACGGCCGCAAGGCUAAACUCAAAGGAAUUGACGG
rnacentral:rRNA from 1 species